rnacentral:rRNA from 1 species
AUUGAACGCUGGCGGCAGGCCUAACACAUGCAAGUCGAGCGGAGCGGCGGACGGGUGAGGAAUGCCUAGGAAUCUGACUGGUCGUGGGGGAUAACGUCCGGAAACGGGCGCUAAUACCGCAUACUAUCAGAUGAGCCUAGGUCUGAUUAGCUAGUUGUUGGGGUAAAGGCCCACCAAGGCGAUGAUCCGUAACUGGUCUGAGAGGAUGAUCAGUCAAACUGGAACUGAGACACGGUCCAGACCCCUACGGGAGGCAGCAGUGGGGAAUAUUGGACAAUGGGCGAAAGCCUGAUCCAGCCAUGCCGCGUGAGUGAAGAAGGUCUUCGGAUUGUAAAGCACUUUAAGUUGGGAGGCGUUACCCGCAGAAGAAGCACCGGCUAACUCCGUGCCAGCAGCCGCGGUAAUUC